rnacentral:rRNA from 1 species
UCGCCUGUUUUUCAAAAACAUAGCCCCUUGAACAUAUAAAGGGUCCCGCCUGCCCAGUGACCUCAAAGGUUAAACGGCCGCGGUAUCUUGACCGUGCAAAGGUAGCAUAAUCACUUGUCUUUUAAAUGGAGACCUGUAUGAACGGCAAAACCUUUUCAAACUGUCUCCCUCCCUAACCUUUUAAACUCCUUUUCACGCGAAGAAGCGUGAAUACAUCAGAAAGACGAGAAGACCCUGUCGAGCUUCAGCCAAUAAGUGAGCUAACAAAACCUAUGUGUUAACAUCACCCAAAGGCUUUGGUUGGGGUAACCAUGGAGAACAUUAAUCCUCCAGAACAAGCAGACGAACUCUCUUCCCUACUAAACGAACUAAAGAACCAGGAACUGGUAAUCGGAAAAAGUUACCGCAGGGAUAACAGCGUCAUCCCCUUUAAGAGUCCUUAUUGACAAGGGGGUUUGCGACCUCGAUGUUGGAUUGGGGCUCCCUUAGGGUGCAGAAGCUCUAAACGGUUAGACUGUUCGUCUAUUAAAGCCCUACAUGAUCUGAGUUAAACCCGGAGAA